rnacentral:pre_miRNA from 15 species
AGGGUUGCUUGCAGAGGUUAUUGGCAUUCUGUCCACCUCCAUCCACCACUUCUAUCUCUCAUCAACAAGGAGAAUCAUAUGGACGGAGGUGGGCAUCCUGCCAAGUGAACUCUGUUAGCUUCUCUUUGUAAAACCCA